rnacentral:hammerhead_ribozyme from 1 species
ACCCAGCUGACGAGUCCCAAAUAGGACGAAACGCGCGUCCUGGA